rnacentral:hammerhead_ribozyme from 1 species
AUCCAGUUGACCAGUCAAAAAUAGGAUGAAACGCGCGUCCUGGAU